rnacentral:lncRNA from 1 species
GGACUCCUACGGGAGCCGAACCUCGCCCUCAGCUCCAACUGCUGGAAGGCUUCGUCCGGACUCCUACAGGAGCCAGACUUCAUCCCCAAUCUUUACAGCUGGAAGACUCCAUCCAGACUCCUACGGGAGUCGGACCUCAUCCUCGACUUCGACUAUAGGUAGGCUCUGUCUGGACUCCUACGGAAGCCGGACCUCAUCCCCAAC